rnacentral:rRNA from 1 species
GACGAACUUUGGCGGCGUGCUUAACACAUGCAAGUCGAACGGAAAGGCCCUGCUUUUGUGGGGUGCUCGAGUGGCGAACGGGUGAGUAACACGUGAGUAACCUGCCCUUGACUUUGGGAUAACUUCAGGAAACUGGGGCUAAUACCGGAUAGGAGCUCCUGCUGCAUGGUGGGGGUUGGAAAGUUUCGGCGGUUGGGGAUGGACUCGCGGCUUAUCAGCUUGUUGGUGGGGUAGUGGCUUACCAAGGCUUUGACGGGUAGCCGGCCUGAGAGGGUGACCGGCCACAUUGGGACUGAGAUACGGCCCAGACUCCUACGGGAGGCAGCAGUGGGGAAUAUUGCACAAUGGGCGGAAGCCUGAUGCAGCAACGCCGCGUGCGGGAUGACGGCCUUCGGGUUGUAAACCGCUUUCGCCUGUGACGAAGCGUGAGUGACGGUAAUGGGUAAAGAAGCACCGGCUAACUACGUGCCAGCAGCCGCGGUGAUACGUAGGGUGCGAGCGUUGUCCGGAUUUAUUGGGCGUAAAGGGCUCGUAGGUGGUUGAUCGCGUCGGAAGUGUAAUCUUGGGGCUUAACCCUGAGCGUGCUUUCGAUACGGGUUGACUUGAGGAAGGUAGGGGAGAAUGGAAUUCCCUGGUGGAGCGGUGGAAUGCGCAAAUAUCAGGAGGAACACCAGUGGCGAAAGCGGUUCUCUGGGCCUUUCCUGACGCUGAGGAGCGAAAGCGUGGGGAGCGAACAGGCUUAGAUACCCUGGUAGUCCACGCUGUAAACGGUGGGUACUAGGUGUGGGGUCCAUUCCACGGGUUCCGUGCCGUAGCUAACGCUUUAAGUACCCCGCCUGGGGAGUACGGCCGCAAGGCUAAAACUCAGAGGAAUUGACGGGGCCCCGCACAAGCGGCGGAGCAUGCGGAUUAAUUCGAUGCAACGCGUAGAACCUUACCUGGGUUUGACAUGGAUCGGGAGUGCUCAGAGAUGGGUGUGCCUCUUUUGGGGUCGGUUCACAGGUGGUGCAUGGCUGUCGUCAGCACGUGUCGUGAGAUGUUGGGUUAAGUCCCGCAACGAGCGCAACCCUUGUUCACUGUUGCCAGCACGUUAUGGUGGGGACUCAGUGGAGACCGCCGGGGUCAACUCGGAGGAAGGUGGGGAUGACGUCAAGUCAUCAUGCCCCUUAUGUCCAGGGCUUCACGCAUGCUACAAUGGCUGGUACAGAGAGUGGCGAGCCUGUGAGGGUGAGCGAAUCUCGGAAAGCCGGUCUCAGUUCGGAUUGGGGUCUGCAACUCGACCUCAUGAAGUCGGAGUCGCUAGUAAUCGCAGAUCAGCAACGCUGCGGUGAAUACGUUCCCGGGGCU